UUGAAAGUUGGAAGUCCCACAUUCAUGAAAACACAGUAUAGUAGGGGGGCGCUGUACGAAAACAAGGAGGACGAGUGGAGGGUUUGUGUAGCGGGCCAUCUCCCCUUCUCCGGGAUUCCGGGCUACCUGGCCGCAGUCUGGGGACCGUAGACCUCCAGGCCUGCAGGGGGCAGCGGGCGCAGCGGAAGGGCCUGCUCCGGAGUGUAGACCAAGCUGCGCAGUCAUGAUCACCACUGAAACCCUGGCGGAGUCGGUAGUCCUUGCGGCGUCUGGUGUCGCGGCGGCCACCGAAGACCCCGGGCGGGAGGAUCUGGCGUGGCCCUGGAAAGAUGCCCCUAUCGGGACUCUGGUGCAGCGCAUCCACCAGCUGCAAGCUGAGCGCGCGGAGGUCUUCCGCCGACUGGAGCAAGGCCACCUCCAUUAUCUGCGCAGCGGCCCUUGCUACGACUUCCCGAGCUACCGGAACACCGUGCACGAGGUGACCCAGGCCUUCACCGCCGCCUCCCAGGAGGUACUGGCGGUGGAAGCAGAGCUAGCUGGGCCUCGUGCACAACCGCUGCUCGCUAGCCACGUCCGCAGCCUGCAACAGCUGGAGCAGACACGCCUGGCUACGGUUCUUGACCGAUUCCACCGCAGGAUUCUAAUGCCCCGCCUAUUCUGCCCGUGCUGCCAAUCCUGGUCGCGGAGGGGUCGGCUCACUGUGAAGCUCCACCCACACUGCUUUGGUCUCGAACUACCGUGCACGACCCCCUGCCUGACCUCAACCCCAUCCUAAAUAUUUGGACAUGCCUACAUCAAACAGCACGCCCAACUCUGGUCUGCUGAGUCGGCCCCUCCCUUCCGCGGGAGCCAGGGAUUCUCAAACUACUGCCCGUGGGCCACAUGAGGCGGUGUGAUUGUAUUUGUUCCCGUUUUUGGUUUUUUACUUCAAAAUAAGAUAUGUGCAGUGUGCACAAGAAUUUCUUCAUAGUUUCUUUUUUUUAACUCUAGUCCGGCCCUCCAACAGUCUUAGGGACAGUGAACUGGCCCACUGUUUAAAAAGUUUGAGGACCUCUGCCGGGUCCUGCACGAAACUCCGCCCCUCGUGGCUCUACUGCUUUUGUUUUGAGACAGUCUCACUGUCACUGUGGGUAGAGUACUGUGAUGUCAUAGCUCACAGCAACCUCAAACUUGGGCUCAAGCGAUCCUCUUGCCUCAGCCUCUGGAGUAGCUGGGUCUACAGGUGCCCACCAUGGCCCCCAGCUAUUUUUUCUAUGUUUAGUAGAGACGGGCUCUCUGUCUUUCUCAGGGUGAUCUGGAAUUCCUGAGAUCAAAGUAAUCUGCCUGCCUUGGUCCCAAUCCAGUGUUAGGAUUACAGGUGUGAGGUACCGCAUUGGCUGUAGCUCUACUUCUUUACUGCCUUGGUGCCUUAUUGCCUUUUCCUUCCUGAACACUAUGGGAGGGCAUGGAGUGGCUUCUGUCCAUUUUGACAAUGUUUGGGUUGCCCAUUCCCCCACCAGGUCGCUCUGCUGCAGCUGAUGGGGAUGCCUGAGCUGGCAGGGCAAGAGGACACUGUACAGACACACCAGCUGAAGAUGAAGGUAAUUAAAACCAUGGAGGCGAUCAGCGAGGUUCUCCAGGACCUCAGGUUUGAUGCAGAAUCUGCUGA